GGAGAGGUGGCCGAGUGGUUUAAGGCGCACGCCUGGAAAGCGUGUGGGUAUCGCAAGGUGCCUCGAGAGUUCGAAUCUCUCCCUCUCCGCCA
rnacentral:tRNA from 1 species